CCCGAACUCAAAAAAAGAAAUGGCCCAGUGGUGCAUUAUAAAGUUCAGCAGUGGUGCAACCGAAAUUGUGCCAAACACAUGGGUUGAAGGGGAUAAAGUCUUCUGGCCCCCAUACCCUCCUAAGGACUCCAUUAGGCUGAACGCAGCCAUCCUGAAGCGGGAACAGCCUGGAGAUGGAUGGCACACGUACCAACCAAUCCGUCUCCUCAUAACUCGUGAUACUAAUGAUGAGGCAGUGAGGAGCCUGGACCGAUAUAUUAAUGAAGAUUGUGACACCACCGACAUCCAGUCUGAGAGGGAGAGCCAACAUGUCCUAAAAAGAAAAAGAAGACCAAUUUAUCAUUCGGCAUCGUUCCCAGGAGAUGAAUUGGCCUACCCUCCACUCGGUCCAAUGCCUCUACUCCAGAGGCCAUCUCCUGAAGAUUUUCCAGGCACUGCCAGAAUGGCAUUAAAAGACGUGGCUAUGCAGAAACUUCUGACUGCGGUGACGGAGUUGUCCAAGGAGGUGAAGGACCUACGGGAGGAAUUCAGGCAAUACGUCCACUCCUGCAAGUGUGGACAGACUGACUCAGUGGGACUGGCCUCCUUGGAGCCCUUGGAGCUGCCCCUCCACACCAUGGAGGCCCUGGACCGUGUGGAGGAUACACUGCAAAAUGUACCAAACCGCCAAAAAAUGGUAGAUGUUUAAUAGUUACAUCAUUCUUCGGUCAGAAAACUUCAUUGAUAUGCACAAUUUUCCUUAAGC
ensembl:lncRNA